rfam:Oryza sativa (indica cultivar-group) chromosome 2, whole genome shotgun sequence.
CCUAAAAUAAGUUUUACACUAUUCACUUUCAAUGUUCGAUCAUUCGUCUUAUUUAAAAAUUUUUAAUGAUUAAUAUUUUAUUAUUAUUAGAUAAUAAAACAUAAAUAGAACUUUAUGCGCGACUAACUUUUUUUAAAUUUUUUCAUAACUUUUUUAAAUAAGACGGACAGUCAAACAUUGGAUACGGAUUCCCACGGCUACACUUAUU